rnacentral:lncRNA from 1 species
GAGAGGCCUCUGCGGCUGAGGCAAAAGCUUUGCACCACUCAGAGUCCUCGGUCACCCAGGACAAUCUUUGCAUUCGGUAUAUAGGCGCUGUGACACCUGCGUUCUCAGCUGGAUAAAAUGGGUGACCUGGGUUUUCAAAAGAUGUGCCUUUUUGAGAAGAUGAAAACGACAGUUUAUGGCCGCUGACUGCGCGCUAACUGCUGUGUAGAUUAUUAAGGGAUACUGUAAGGGAGAGGACCGGUUUAAAGCGAGGCUGCUCUGAGUGGAGCCAAGAGGUCACAAACAUUCCACCUGGCCCAGCACGUGACUCCACCCAUCUGGAGAGCCCUCCGGCCCCGCCCUGGGACCAGGUGGCUCCACCCAACACCAGAAGGGCCCAGCCAGGCUCCGCCCAAGGUGCACGUGGACCCACCCCUCAUCUCAAGGUCCUGUCCAAACCACGCACUCACGCGGCUUAUCAGAACGCCGGGAGCCCUCUCCCUAGUAAACGAGAUCCAGACCCUUUCCACGCAUGUGCCCAGUCCGGCCCUACUUGAUCGUGCAGGUGGCCAUACCCAACACCCCCAUCCCCGUUCCCAGUCCAUCACAAGGCUCAUCCAACAAUCAGAGGCCAGCCCAACACCCUGAUUUCUCAGCCCUUAGGCAGCCUUAGGAGGCCUCACAAGAGAGCUCGCCGCCCCACCUCUGCCCGCCCGCCUGCCCAGACUGUCACCUGAGUGUAGUGGCCGCACAUCUGGUUCGGAUCGCAGGUGGCCGUGCUGAAAUUGUAAUACUCAUGCUCCUCGUGCCAGUUCCCCACGGCCAGCGGCACGUCCAUGCCCUCGUCCGUGAUGGCAAACAAGUUCUCUCCGCGCCGCCCGCGUUCUUUGUUGUGGCCCCACACGCACUUCUGAGCGUAGGCCUUGGCGAAGGCGGCCAGCUCGUCAUCCCACCUCUGCAGGGACGCAAGGGAGGCAAGACAGGGAGGUGAGACUCCUGCGAAGGGCAGUUUUGCUUAGAGAGCCUCCGAGGUUCCUUGUCCUUGGCUGGGAGAAGACGGAGCAAGUGUGCAGCAUGAGAGGGGAACUUAAGGCAUCUGACCCCAAGGACUAAGGAGGAAGACCUGGAUCCCAUUAAACUCCGAUGCCUGCUGUGGCUCUUGUUCCACCAACUUGACAGCCCCACCAAAAGCAGCAGCAGAAGCUUGGGGUGUCAUUGCGGGGAGAACUGUGUGACCAUGCCCACUUCCCACCCGCUCAGUGCUUUAGCUUCCUGCAACCCUCGUGGGAUCCUGAAUGGGGACAGUACCAGGGCUGUGCCUUGAUGAGAUGUUCUCUCUCUCUCUCUCUCUCUCUCUCUCUCUCUGGUCAUUUUAAAAAAUUAAUUCUGCACUUACUUUUAGGUAUGUGCGAAUGCAGGUGCACGCCUAACAGUGCCUGCACGAAAGAGGACAGCCUCUGGGGAGGGAACUCAGCUCCUCUGAGUUGCUUGGCCAGGUGUUUUGAGGAACACCUGGCUAGCCCCACUUUGGUCAUUUUAUUUCAAAUCACUGGUCUGGGUGGUCCCCUAGACUCUGACAACAGUGGGCAGUUGGGAGCAGAAAUGGGGAUCAGGGGGUCUAGGGUGAUCCACAGGACCCCGGGAUAGACAGAUAGGCUCCAUUCUAGGACAGGUAGUAACAUCAUUUCCAUUGUCACAGUGCUGGGUGUUAUGGGUACUCCCCCACCCCCCAGCUGAGGACCUCCCCGAAGCUGAGGACUGAACCCAGGGCCUUGUGCUUGCUAGGCAAGUGCUCUACUACUGAGCUAAAUCCCCACCCCAGUGGGUACUUUUUAAUAGAUGGUUAUGAUUGAAAGACCAGCUCAAAGUAGCCCCAGCUCUAACCUCUAAGCUGAGUCUACGCCUGAAGUCCCAGCGGGACUUACAGUUUGUGGUGU